GACGAACGCUGGCGGCGUGCCUAAUACAUGCAAGUUGAGCGCUGAAGGUUGGUACUUGUACCGACUGGAUGAGCAGCGAACGGGUGAGUAACGCGUGGGGAAUCUGCCUUUGAGCGGGGGACAACAUUUGGAAACGAAUGCUAAUACCGCAUAAAAACUUUAAACACAAGUUUUAAGUUUGAAAGAUGCAAUUGCAUCACUCAAAGAUGAUCCCGCGUUGUAUUAGCUAGUUGGUGAGGUAAAGGCUCACCAAGGCGAUGAUACAUAGCCGACCUGAGAGGGUGAUCGGCCACAUUGGGACUGAGACACGGCCCAAACUCCUACGGGAGGCAGCAGUAGGGAAUCUUCGGCAAUGGAUGAAAGUCUGACCGAGCAACGCCGCGUGAGUGAAGAAGGGUUUCGGAUCGUAAAACUCUGUUGGUAGAGAAGAACGUUGGUGAGAGUGGAAAGCUCAUCAAGUGACGGUAACUACACAGAAAGGGACGGCUAACUACGUG
rnacentral:rRNA from 1 species